rnacentral:rRNA from 1 species
GAUGAACGCUGGCGGCGUGCCUAAUACAUGCAAGUCGAGCGAACAGACGAGGAGCUUGCUCCUCUGACGUUAGCGGCGGACGGGUGAGUAACACGUGGAUAACCUACCUAUAAGACUGGGAUAACUUCGGGAAACCGGAGCUAAUCCCGGAUAAUAUAUUGAACCGCAUGGUUCAAUAGUGAAAGACGGUUUUGCUGUCACUUAUAGAUGGAUCCGCGCCGCAUUAGCUAGUUGGUAAGGUAACGGCUUACCAAGGCGACGAUGCGUAGCCGACCUGGGAGAGUGCUAGGCCACAAGGGAACUGAGACAGCGACCAGACGCCUACGGGAGGCAGCAGAAGGGAAUCGUCCGCAAUGGGCGAGAACCUGGCGGAGCAACGCCGCGUGAGUGAUGAAGGUCUUCGGAUCGUAAAACUCUGUUAUGAGGGAAGAACAAAUGUGUAAGUAACUAUGCACGGCUUGACGGUACCUAAUCAGAAAGCCACGGCUAACUACGUG